rnacentral:lncRNA from 1 species
ACGGAAACACAGCAGCAAGCCCCACAUUUUCUCACAGACUCAGCACUUUGUUCCCAAAAGUGUGCUGGCCAAUGUCCGUCAACUUGAGCGGCCUGCAGAGAACGCUGCUCGCGUUGUUCUGUCGCUGAUGCCUGUAGCAGUUAGUCUUACGUCUCAGAACGCGUGCUGGGACACACGAUGUUUCCUCAGCUAGAAAAACCGCGUAAGUGACAAAGGUGAUGUGGACCCUUUAAAAACCCAACAGACUGUUGGUAAGCGAACAGCCCUGUUCUGGGCCCUCGAAGAAACCAAAAAAUGGCGGUAGUGGCAACAUGGCGCAAGUGCGUAAUGUCAGGAGGGUACCUCCAGUCACGUGUACAUAUACGGCAGUGUUCCACACCGCCUACCAGUCGAUCGCUAUAUGAAGUGACGAAUCUAGGAAGUGGCAAUAUGGAAAGAGUGCAGCUAGUGUAGCAGUCUGUCUUCAGAACAGCAAACUUCCGCUGUGUCAUACCAUCACCGGUUUAAAGCAACGAUUCACCCAGUGGAAAUCAGUGUUAACAGCCGGUUUCUCUUGUACAUUUGUCGACUUGCGACAGGGGAGGAAGACUGAUGUGUACGACGUCCUCAAAGGACGCUUUGAAAGAAUGCGUCUCUAGGGUGCAGUCCUGCCGAAAAUGUCUUGUCGUCACAAGAAGGUCGUCCAAAAAAGAGCCGGACAACGAGUAAACGAUGAGGUGGUUACGUGGUAGCUGCUGGC